GCUAGAUUGAACGCUGGCGGCAGGCCUAACACAUGCAAGUCGAACGGUAACAGGAAGCAGCUUGCUGCUUGCUGACGAGUGGCGGACGGGUGAGUAAUGUCUGGGAAACUGCCUGAUGGAGGGGGAUAACUACUGGAAACGGUAGCUAAUACCGCAUAACGUCGCAAGACCAAAGAGGGGGACCUUCGGGCCUCUUGCCAUCAGAUGUGCCCAGAUGGGAUUAGCUUGUUGGUGGGGUAACGGCUCACCAAGGCGACGAUCCCUAGCUGGUCUGAGAGGAUGACCAGCCACACUGGAACUGAGACACGGUCCAGACUCCUACGGGAGGCAGCAGUGGGGAAUAUUGCACAAUGGGCGCAAGCCUGAUGCAGCCAUGCCGCGUGUAAUGAAGAAGGCCUUCGGGUUGUAAAGUACUUUCAGCGGGGAGGAAGGUGUUGUGGUUAAUAACCACAGCAAUUGACGUUACCCGCAGAAGAAGCACCGGCUAACUCCGUGCCAGCCGCAGC
rnacentral:rRNA from 1 species